rnacentral:rRNA from 1 species
UACGUAGGGGGCAAGCGUUGUCCGGAUUUAUUGGGCGUAAAGAGCGUGUAGGCGGUUUGGUAGGUCCGUUGUGAAAACUCGGAGGCUCAACCUCGAGACGCCGAUGGAAACCAUCAGACUAGAGUCCGGAAGAGGAGAGUGGAAUUCCUGGUGUAGCGGUGAAAUGCGCAGAUAUCAGGAAGAACACCCGUGGCUAAGGCGGCUCUCUAGUACGGUACUGACGCUGAGACGCGAAAGCGUGGGGAGCGAACAGG